rnacentral:tRNA from 1 species
AGUUAAUGAACUUGAAUAAGUGUAUAUUUUGAAAAUAUAAAAUAGAAUAAAUUUUCUAUUAACUU